AGUGAACGCUGGCGGUAGGCCUAACACAUGCAAGUCGAACGGCAGCACAGUAAGAGCUUGCUCUUACGGGUGGCGAGUGGCGGACGGGUGAGGAAUACAUCGGAAUCUACUUUUUCGUGGGGGAUAACGUAGGGAAACUUACGCUAAUACCGCAUACGACCUACGGGUGAAAGCAGGGGAUCUUCGGACCUUGCGCGAUUGAAUGAGCCGAUGCCGGAUUAGCUAGUUGGCGGGGUAAAGGCCCACCAAGGCGACGAUCCGUAGCUGUCUGAGAGGAUGAUCAGCCACACUGGAACUGAGACACGGUCCAGACUCCUACGGGAGGCAGCAGUGGGGAAUAUUGGACAAUGGGCGCAAGCCUGAUCCAGCCAUGCCGCGUGGGUGAAGAAGGCCUUCGGGUUGUAAAGCCCUUUUGUUGGGAAAGAAAAGCAGCAGGUUAAUACCCCGCUGUUCUGACGGUACCCAAAGAAUAAGCACCGGCUAACUUCGUG
rnacentral:rRNA from 1 species